UACGUAGGAUGCAAGCGUUGUCCGGAAUCACUGGGCGUAAAGGGUCCGUAGGCGGUUUGUUAAGUCUCUUGUGAAAGUUCAGGGCUCAACCCUGAAAGGUCGGGGGAUACUGGCAAACUUGAGACUGUCAGAGGCAAGUGGAAUUCCCGGUGUAGUGGUGAAAUGCGUAGAUAUCGGGAGGAACACCAGUGGCGAAAGCGGCUUGCUGGGACAGUUCUGACGCUGAGGGACGAAAGCGUGGGUAGCAAACCGG
rnacentral:rRNA from 1 species